CACAGGGUUGCGAGCGUUGUCCGGAAUUACUAGGCGUAAAGGGCAGGCAGGCGGAUCCAUAAGUUUAUCGUUUAAGGCGUCGGCUUAACCGGCGUAGGGCGGUAGAUACUGUGGAUCUGGAAUGCGGUUGGGAAGACAGAAUUCCUGGUGUAGCGGUGGAAUGCGCAGAGAUCAGGAGGAAUACCGAAGGCGAAGGCAGUCUUCCAAGCCGUUAUUGACGCUCAACUGCGAAGGUGUGGGUAGUCAAACAGGAUUAGAUACCCUCGGUAGGUCCCU
rnacentral:rRNA from 1 species